ensembl:lncRNA
UUUUUCUCAGGAUAUGGGCUAAGAAGAGAAGACUGGCUACAGGGAAGCAAUGAUACAAGCUCAACUGUAGUCAAAAGUACUUCAGUAGGCAGUAGCUAUCCUGUGUGUACUACCUUAGAAUAAGUCUCUGAGAAGAUCUAUUUAUUUAUAAAAUCCAGCCUUCUACACAUCUUGAAAAGGAAGAUCAGAGGAUUAUACACACUGCUGGAGGCAAGGUAGAAAGAGCAGGAAAGAAGAUCCAGAAUGCAGCAGUCUUCACAAACCCUAUGUGAAAAAUAUACUUUGGACUGAAUAAUUGGGCAGAAGCAACAUGAACUAAUUUUCACUGGAGUGGCUGGAAAUGUAGUUGUGGCACUUCUCAGAACUGCUCUCUUACUGAAAAAAAACUGUUUGGAAUAUGAAGCCUCCCUGUGCUGUGACAGUAAGGAUCAGUAAGGUUGGAAAGGACCGCUAGGAUCACCAAGUCCAACCACAGCCCAUGCACACCAUGCCCGCUAACCACAUCUGUCAGUGCCACACCUAUACAUGUGUUGAAUACCUCCAGGGACGGUGACUCCACCACCUCCCUGUGCAGCCUGUGCCGCUGCCUCACCUCUCUUUCUGAGAAGAAAUGGUUCCUAAUAUCCAACCUGAAGUUAGACUGUGCAACUCUGGCAAAGGCGUGCUAUAGUUACAGGCAAAAGAUCCAUCUUCCAUGUAAACUGUCUUCUCUGAAAGUUCCUGUAGUCAGUGUGAAGAGCAAAGUUUUGGAUUAAAAAAAGGAAAAUUUGUUGUCUACAGGAAGAAGCUACUAAACCAUGACUGAUGGUGUCAUGAAAUUACUAUAUUAUUCUAUACAACAGGGGUUGUACCUGUGCCCCACAGGUAAAGAAAUCUGUGGGGAGGAAAACUUCUGAAAAGUUACGUUUGUG